UAGUCCACGCCGUAAACGAUGAGAACUAGAUGUCGGGGGAAAUUGUCCUUCGGUGUCGCAGCUAACGCGUUAAGUUCUCCGCCUGGGGAGUACGCCGGCAACGGUAAAACUCAAAGGAAUUGACGGGGACCCGCACAAGCGGUGGAGCAUGUGGUUUAAUUCGAUGCAACGCGAAGAACCUUACCUGCCCUUGACAUUGACAGAAUCCUGUAGAGAUACGGGAGUGCUUCGGCCUGGAAAACAGGUGCUGCAUGGCUGUCGUCAGCUCGUGUCGUGAGAUGUUGGGUUAAGUCCCGCAACGAGCGCAACCCUUGUCCUUAGUUGCCAGCACGUAAUGGUGGGAACUCUAGGGAGACUGCCGGUGACAAACCGGAGGAAGGUGGGGACGACGUCAAGUCCUCAUGGCCCUUACGGGUAGGGCGUACACGCGUACUACAAUGGCAGAAACAAACCGAAGCGAUAUUGCGAGAUGGAGCUAAACGGUAAAACACUGUCUCAGUCCGGAUUGAAGUCUAGCAACUCGACUUCA
rnacentral:rRNA from 1 species